UACGUAGGGUGCGAGCGUUGUCCGGAAUUAUUGGGCGUAAAGAGCUCGUAGGCGGCCUGUUGCGUCGGUUGUGAAAGCCCGGGGCUUAACCCCGGGUCUGCAGUCGAUACGGGCAGGCUAGAGUUCGGUAGGGGAGAUCGGAAUUCCUGGUGUAGCGGUGAAAUGCGCAGAUAUCAGGAAGAACACCCGUGGCGAAAGCGGCUCUCUGGAACGGUACUGACGCUGAGACGCGAAAGCGUGGGGAGCGAACAGG
rnacentral:rRNA from 1 species